rnacentral:tRNA from 1 species
GCGAGGGUGGCGUAAUUGGUAGCCGCAACACGUUUAGGUCGUGUCGUCCUUCGGAUGUAGGGGUUCGAGUCCCCUCCCUCGCACCA